rnacentral:rRNA from 1 species
GACGUAGGGCGCGAGCGUUGUCCGGAUUUAUUGGGCGUAAAGAGCUCGUAGGCGGCGUGUCGCGUCGGGAGUGAAAGCCCGUUGCUUAACGGCGGGUUGGCUUUCGGUACGGGCAUGCUGGAGUGCGGCAGGGGAGACUGGAAUUCCUGGUGUAGCGGUGGAAUGCGCAGAUAUCAGGAGGAACACCGGUGGCGAAGGCGGGUCUCGUGGGCCGUUACUGACGCUGAGGAGCGAAAGCGUGGGGAGCGAACAGG